GCUUAACACAUGCAAGUCGAGCGGUAAGGCCCUUCGGGGUACACGAGCGGCGAACGGGUGAGUAACACGUGGGUGAUCUGCCUUGCACUCUGGGAUAAGCCUGGGAAACUGGGUCUAAUACCGGAUAUGACCUGCAGUUGCAUGACUGUGGGUGGAAAGAUUUAUCGGUGCGAGAUGAGCCCGCGGCCUAUCAGCUUGUUGGUGGGGUAAUGGCCUACCAAGGCGACGACGGGUAGCCGGCCUGAGAGGGCGACCGGCCACACUGGGACUGAGACACGGCCCAGACUCCUACGGGAGGCAGCAGUGGGGAAUAUUGCACAAUGGGCGGAAGCCUGAUGCAGCGACGCCGCGUGAGGGAUGACGGCCUUCGGGUUGUAAACCUCUUUCGACUCCGACGAAGCGAAAGUGACGGUAGGAGUAUAAGAAGCACCGGCCAACUACGUGCCAGCAGCCGCGGUAAUACGUAGGGUGCGAGCGUUGUCCGGAAUUACUGGGCGUAAAGAGCUUGUAGGCGGCUUGUCGCGUCGAUCGUGAAAACUCGGGGCUCAACCCCGAGCUUGCGGUCGAUACGGGCAGGCUUGAGUACUUCAGGGGAGACUGGAAUUC
rnacentral:rRNA from 1 species